rnacentral:rRNA from 1 species
GCCCAAGAGAUCGGGAUAACACCUGGAAACAGAUGCUAAUACCGGAUAACAACAGAUGAUGCCUAUCAACUGUUUAAAAGAUGGUUCUGCUAUCACUCUUGGAUGGACCUGCGGUGCAUUAGCUAGUUGGUAGGGUAACGGCCUACCAAGGCGAUGAUGCAUAGCCGAGUUGAGAGACUGAUCGGCCACAUUGGGACUGAGAUACGGCCCAGACUCCUACGGGAGGCAGCAGCC